UAGCAAUGAUGCCUGAAUUUCUUCACCUGAAAGUCUGUGUUGAUUAAACCGAGCUUUUUAACUCUGAGCAAA
rnacentral:snoRNA from 1 species